rnacentral:misc_RNA from 1 species
AACAAGGCGUACCUGCGGACCUGCGGAAGGAUCAUUACAAGUGACCCCGGUCUAACCACCGGGAUGUUCAUAACCCUUUGUUGUCCGACUCUGUUGCCUCCGGGGCGACCCUGCCUUCGGGCGGGGGCUCCGGGUGGACACUUCAAACUCUUGCGUAACUUUGCAGUCUGAGUAAAUUUAAUUAAUAAAUUAAAACUUUCAACAAUGGAUCU